rnacentral:tRNA from 1 species
AAAGUCCUAGCUUAAUUAAAGCACCUGGGUUGCAUUCAGGAGAUGUGGGGUAGUGUCCUACGGAUUUUA